ACACAAGCCUCCAUGUGGUGUGUGUGUGUGGAUUUGUGUAUCCACCAGCCAGCCCCAGCCACAGAAUCAGAGGGGGUGAUAAAAAGAAAUAGGGAAAAAACCCUGAAGUGCAAGUGCGUGCAUGCAGGCAGGCACUGCCCGUUCCAUUCUAUACAGGCUUCUACCAAUGUGUCUACACUAUUGACGGAACCAAAGCUGGCAUGUGUUUGUGUGCGUGAAAUAGACAGGGGCGAAUAGAAAAAUAUAUCGAGCGCCUGAUUGCAUACCUUCAUGUGGUGGCUGUGUAUGCACGGAUCAGUCAUCUAUCCAUUUAUUCGUUUGAAUGAGAUCAAAGCUAAGCAAGCAAGCAGCUAUCUUCAAAAAUGCACAUGCACACUCUUGCGUCUUCUGCUACCAUGCCGUCCUUUUACUGGAUCUGCGCCCCUCCUUGCCUUUUUGAACGGAAUAACCACAAUCCCGGACCCUAUGACUGGAUUUAUAAUCGGAAUUAACCAGAUAUAGCCAGCCUAGUACCUUGUCUGCCUCGCUAUUACCUAGAAAUCAUUGCCAGGAACCUAAACAACCCACUCGCAGGGACCUAAGGGGAAGGGAGUAAACAAGAAACACCACUUGACUGGGGAAAGAACCCUUGCUGAUAUUUAUAAUGACAUGCUUUAUUAUAGUGAUGAUCACAGGCAAUAUAUAAUAAACAGUCAUCCCGUGUCAAGAGAGGCAAGGUGAAAAGAAGUGCCCUAGACUUGCCCACCUGUGAAAUCUGCACAAGAAAGCAACAAUAGGAGUUUGAAUUCCUCCAGUGAACCUGCCGAAGAAACUUCUAUCCGGGGCUCUCAAAGGUUAGUUUGAUAUAUAUUCUUAAUUAUUUUAAUCAAUAUCUUUCUUUCUUUUCCUAUUGUUGUCUAUUCCUACUUAACCCAGAUUAGUACUGAUUUUGUGGAUCGUCUGUGAAUAUGCAGUAGGUUUAGAGACCAUGGUUGCCCUUGGAUAAAAAAAAAAUGGCACAUGUGCUUGUGAAAACCGGUGAAUUUCCAAUCAGUCUAAUUCCAAUUUGUCUAAUUACGAACUGGUCUAUUAUCAUUUGGUCUACCAUCAGUUCAUCCACUAUCCAUAUGGCCUAAUUGUCAUUUCGUCCACUCACUAUUUUGUAUAUCAGUUGGUCCAGUAGCCAUUUAGUCCAUAUCCCAUUUGGUCUAAUUUGAAUUAUUGUAAAUUGGGCGAAAUGGAUGAAAAGGAAAUAAGAAUUGGACCAACUGAAUAUGAGACCAAAUGUUAAUAGACGAACUGGUGAUUAGACAAAGUGACUAUUUGACCAAAUGGUUGUUAGACGAAAUGUUGAUGGAUGGAAUGGCAUUAGACUAGAUGAAGGUAGACCAUGCUGUUAUUGUUUUAAUCUGAUUCUUUUAUUGAAAUUCGAAAGGAAGUUCAUUUCCAGAAAUUGUUUUAUUUGUUUCUCUCUGCAUGUGUGUGUGUUCACAUUUUUAUUUUUAAUAUUUUUUUUGAUGAAGGGGUGGAUGUGUGCAUGUUGUUAGUCCUAAUGAAAUUGGAUGGUGGAUACAUAAAAGCUGGGUCUGAUUAACAUGGACAAUAUAAUACAAAUACAGUCAUUGAGAUCAUUGUCUUCAUAAAAAAUCUUCUUACUAAUCAUAUCCUUUGAUUUUUUCAUAUUUUCACACAAGCUAUAAAUUGGUUCCAGACAUGAUAUGAGAUAGGCUUUCAUUUGAUAUGCAUAACCAAUUUGUCUGAACAAUUAAACCUAUGUAAUUGACUCCACACUACCAGAACAAGGCUCCCUUGUUCAAUAGUAUACAGGUGUAUUUAAAUCUGCUCAGGCUCAUUGAUCCUAGUGGCCGUACAAUGCAGAUCUAUAGGCCUGUCCACUUUUCCGACCCCUUUACUUUUAGUGUAAUCAAUGUACGGCUGGUCAAUAGUCUGUACAUAUCUGAUUACAUGUCUUUCACUAAACCCCUAUUGACAGAAAGGUCGAAAGGGUUCUGUUAUAAGCCAAAUGAGCCGUGAAUAGAUUUUCACCUCAAAUUCCUGCCAAAAUGCGUCACCCAGUCUUAGAAAAUCACCUGUAUUGUACACAGGUAUGGUGUGAAUAAAGGCAAAGAACUGGAGGGGGCUUCUGUUAUGUAAUCUGUGUACCUUUGGAGUGGUAUAUUAGGGGGUAUGGAUAUAUUGUUGGGAGGAAUACCUGUUCUAAAGGACCAAUAGUCACUACUUACCCCCUCCCCAUUUAAACGAUUGGCUUGAAAUUACAGUCCAAUGCAGUGCAUUGGUUAUCAUUUACAAAGGUCUAAUGUUUAAACAAAAUACUGAACUCUGAUGUCUGUUGUAUUCAAUGUUGUUAAUAUUUAGAUUUUUUUACUUCUUGAAGCACUAAAUGAUAUUUUGGUGCAUUUUUUCAGGGAUUCAUUUUCAUUCAUAUCACAGACACAGGUGAUAUACAUUACAGCUUAGAUUUAAAAAAAAUCAUUGUUAACGUUUAAACAGGUUUUUACCCAUGCAGGUCCACAUGUAAAUCCAAUAAAUUUUGUGGAGUAUAAAUUUGUUCUAUAUGGACUGAGGAAUAGAGAAGAAUAGGAAGGGGAAAAAAAAUCAGGUUCAUGGUCAUAUAAAGUUCAAUGUGCCACGGCAGUUGGUCAUUCAGACCAAUUAUUUAGGUCAGGGGAAAUGUAGAUAGAGAUAGAAAGAGAGAGAGAAAGAAGGGUUCGUUGGUGGGCAGUGAAAGUCCAGUGAAGGCGAGGGAGUAGGGUUGAAGGGGGGGGGGGUGGUGAUUUUUUACCUGAUUGCUAAUAGAAAGCAUGAAUGGGAAUGCUUGUAAGCAAGCAACCAGAGGACCGAUGGCUUAAAGUCCUCUCUGAAGGACUUGGUACUGAGGAUUAAUGCCUUACCAAAGGGCACUAGCGCACCAAGUGGGAAUCGAACCCAGGUCACCGGAAUACGAAUCCCCCGCUCUACCGACUGAGCUAUGGCGCCUCCAAAGAUGGGGGGGGGGGGGGGAAAUGGGGGUAGAAUAGUAAAAAGUGUUUAAAUGGAAUAUUGUCUUCCGUAAAUUUGUAGCCAUUUUCAUCCUAGCUGUAUUUUGCCAACACUGUCGGCUUGAAUAGGUAUUUGCAGACAGAGUUUACCCCCUCAUUGGACAAGCAUUAUUGUCAGGGCAAACAUAGACUGAUGACUAGGAAAUCUUAAUUAGAAUCCCAAUGUCAACAGUGAGUAAUGGCAGUUCUCAUGUACAGGACCUCACUACUGGAAUAGUAUGCGAUUUUACCAUGUACCUGCUGCUAACCAUCCCUGUGUACAUUAAUGAUUCCCUUCCCGGGCUCAAAUCGAGAUGUUUUUACGCGUUUGGUUCAAACUAUGGUUGCAUCCUUAUAUAUUUUCAUUUAAACGCCAAUUGUCAAUUCCCCAAAAGGAGUAUUUACAAUCAGCAUUCCCCCAAUUGCUUUGGAAGCAUAAUCGAAAUGCAACAUCAAUUUGAAAUUCGCCUAUGAUGUCAUAAACGCUGUCAUUAUUAACGCCAUCCUGCCUCUAGUAUAACAUUAUUGUACCAGGCCUACAUUACCUUAGAAAUAAAAAGGUACAUCCCAACUUAACUUAUUCGGGGCAAUGUAGCAUAAAAGUGGUAAAACGCCCUUACAUGUAUAUACAAGAACAAUAGAUUUGGUCCACUGAUCUGGAAACCGUCAUUGCUACAACAAGUUCACAGUCAGUCAUAGUCUGUCUCAGAAAAAAAAAAUUACAUUUGUUGCUUACAAUCUGAAGAUAUGAAGUGUCUGAAUAAAGAAAGUACUAAUUAACUUUGUAUUUUUGUACUGUACAUGUAGGGUCAUUUUAAUAAUUAAAAAUGCAUUCUCAGUCCUCAACUCAUUGAAUGAAGUGCCGGCUAAAAAAAAUCGAGAGUGCAUUGUUACUUAGGCUUACAGACCAUAGUUUUCAAUUUCAUUUUCUUUUAAGGGAUCUUAUGUGAUACAUGAUGCCAUGGAUAACUCCUGACCUACAUCAUUAGGGCAUGUGAGCUAUAUUUACUAUACAUAAAUUCUUUUGGACAUGUUGUUGUAUUGAUCACUGUGCCCGAUGCGAGAUGUGUCGCAUCGGACAUGUUACACCAGACGGAGCUCAAAGGGUAUCUGGCAAUGUUGAUAAAUUUGUUCCUGCGAUAACUCCAAAGAUAACGUUUAUGUGGAAGGAAGAAGGCAAUUAUUGGAUGCACCAAAGCAUAAUACAGAAGAGAUAAAACUUGUUAUGCUCCUGAUUGUGUAAGGGUUGUAUCGAAUAACCCAGGGCAAGGCUAUCGACAUCAUUUCGAGGACAGAUCUCUGAUUUUUUAACGCCUGCUUUGCGCGGUUUGAAUGAACAAAAUUAUCCACUUUACUAGCUUUCUGAUUUCUUAGUGCUUGAAAUGUAAGAUGAAUUUGAUAGACUCUGGUAUUGUGUUACAUGAAGACCUUUUGGGAUUGCCUCUGUAACUGCCAGUGUGAUGAUAAUGAUAUAGCAAAGAGUACAAUCCCUAUUCAGAAGAUACUGAUGGACAUUUAUGGUUGUGAAGUUAGCAACAUUUGUUGUUAUAUUUCACAUUAGGUUUCAUGUGAUUUUGAGGAAAUUGAAAUGACAAGAAAACAUAUUGUAUUUAUGUUUGCUGUUAUUUGAUUUUUUUAAUCUGCGAAAGCAUAAAGCUGCUGCUGUGUGUGAAUAUGUAAGUAGGGAGGUACCGGGACAAAAAAUGUAAUUAAUGCAAAAACAAUAUGUAUAUAUGUGUCUGGUUUAAAGAUGAAAUGAAACUAGGUCAUUUUUAAUAUGAGAGUGGCAAUAGGAAGUAUGUUAUCUUUCAAUGGGAGGUACAUGUACAAUAUUGAGCUGCUCACUUGUGUUGUGAAAAGGUAAUCAGGUGGAGUGCCUCUCAUAAUAUUGUUCUAUUGUACACUUAGCUGGACAUUGGUUACAAUGGAACCCUCUUUCAGACUAUGGAAAAUACUUUGUAUAAAAAUCAUGCAGCUUGUAUAUAUACACUUUGUAUAAAAAUCAUGCAGCUUGUAUAUAUACAGUAUAUAUAUCUGUGUGAAUUUUGUGUAGUUAUUUUCAGGGCUAAAAUCAAUCCAAUGCCUUCAAAGGCCAUGGCCUCAAUUGUCGUGUUGACUGGCUUCAAUGCCGCUCACAUUGGUUAUGAGAUUUUUUGUUGUUGUGCCCUUUUAAUAUUCCCAUUUGUACUGUAGUUAUGGCCUAUUGAAUAUGACCCUCG